rnacentral:rRNA from 1 species
AAUAGAUACCCCGGUAGUCCACGCCGUAAACGAUGUCGACUUGGAGGUUGUUCCCUUGAGGAGUGGCUUCCGGAGCUAACGCGUUAAGUCGACCGCCUGGGGAGUACGGCCGCAAGGUUAAAACUCAAAUGAAUUGACGGGGGCCCGCACAAGCGGUGGAGCAUGUGGUUUAAUUCGAUGCAACGCGAAGAACCUUACCUACUCUUGACAUCCAGAGAACUUAGCAGAGAUGCUUUGGUGCCUUCGGGAACUCUGAGACAGGUGCUGCAUGGCUGUCGUCAGCUCGUGUUGUGAAAUGUUGGGUUAAGUCCCGCAACGAGCGCAACCCUUAUCCUUUGUUGCCAGCGGUCCGGCCGGGAACUCAAAGGAGACUGCCAGUGAUAAACUGGAGGAAGGUGGGGAUGACGUCAAGUCAUCAUGGCCCUUACGAGUAGGGCUACACACGUGCUACAAUGGCGCAUACAAAAGAGAAAGCGACCUCGCGAGAGCAAGCGGACCUCAUAAAGUGCGUCGUAGUCCGGAUUGGAGU